rnacentral:misc_RNA from 1 species
UGUGGGAGCGAGCCUGCUCGCGAUAGCACCGUGUCAGUCAAUAUCCAAGUUGAUUGGACUGACGCUAUCGCGAGCAGGCUCGCUCCCACA